CCCCUCUCAGGGUCACACCUGGAGAGUUUCCAGUACUCUACCAGUCUCAGCCACGGGAGGGAGGGUCAAGCAGAGGCAUACCCAUUCUAUUCCUAGCUUGGGCAGUGGCUAGCGAGUGGAAGGCAAUCUGCUACAAGU
rnacentral:snoRNA from 1 species